GAGUAACACGUGGGCAACCUGCCCUGCAGACUGGGAUAACUCCGGGAAACCGGAGCUAAUACCGGGUAAUACAUCGCACCGCAUGGUGCAAUGUUGAAAGUUGGCUUUCUGAGCUAACACUGCAGGAUGGGCCCGCGGCGCAUUAGCUAGUUGGUAAGGUAAUGGCUUACCAAGGCGACGAUGCGUAGCCGACCUGAGAGGGUGAUCGGCCAAACUGGGACUGAGACACGGCCCAGACUAAUACGGGAGGCAGCAGUAGGGAAUCUUCCGCAAUGGACGAAAGUCUGACGGAGCAACGCCGCGUGAGUGACGAAGGCCUUCGGGUCGUAAAGCUCUGUUGUUAGGGAAGAACAAGUACCGUUCGAAUAGGGCGGUACCUUGACGGUACCUAACCAGAAAGCCACGGCUAACUACGUGCCAGCAGCCGCGGUAAUACGUAGGUGGCAAGCGUUGUCCGGAAUUAUUGGGCGUAAAGCGCGCGCAGGCGGUCUUUUAAGUCUGAUGUGAAAGCCCACGGCUCAACCGUGGAGGGUCAUUGGAAACUGGAGGACUUGAGUGCAGAAGAGGAGAGUGGAAUUCCACGUGUAGCGGUGAAAUGCGUAGAUAUGUGGAGGAACACCAGUGGCGAAGGCGGCUCUCUGGUCUGUAACUGACGCUGAGGCGCGAAAGCGUGGGGAGCAAACAGGAUUAGAUACCCUGGUAGUCCACGCCGUAAACGAUGAGUGCUAGGUGUUGGGGGGUUCCACCCUCAGUGCUGAAGUUAACACAUUAAGCACUCCGCCUGGGGAGUACGACCGCAAGGUUGAAACUCAAAGGAAUUGACGGGGGCCCGCACAAGC
rnacentral:rRNA from 1 species